rnacentral:rRNA from 1 species
CCCUUAGAUGUCCUGGGCCGCACGCGCGCUACACUGACGAAUGCAACGAGCUUAUAACCUUGGCCGAAAGGUCUGGGUAAUCUCCAAAUUUCGUCGUGAUGGGGAUAGAUUAUUGCAAUUAUUAAUCUUCAACGAGGAAUGCCUAGUAAGCGCAAGUCAUCAGCUUGCGUUGAUUACGUCCCUGCCCUUUGUACACACCGCCCGUCGCUCCUACCGAUUGAAUGGUCCGGUGAAGCCUCCGGAUUGGCGCGCACCUCGGUGCCGCCGAGAAGUUGGCUAAACCUUACCAUUUAGAGGAAGGUGAAGUCGUAACA